AGAGAAGCAAUACCGCGAGGUGGAGCAAAACUUCAAAAAUGGUCUCAGUUCGGACUGUAGACUGCAACUCGCCUACACGAAGUUGGAAUUGCUAGUAAUCGUGGAUCAGCAUGCCACGGUGAAUACGUUCCCGGGUCUUGUACACACCGCCCGUCACACCAUGGGAGCUGGUAACACCCGAAGUCAGUAGUCUAACCGCAAGGAGGACGCUGCCGAAGGUGGGAUUAGCGACUGGGGUGAAGUCGUAACAAGGUACC
rnacentral:rRNA from 1 species